UCCAGACAGGGCCACGAAGAGGAACGUUCAUCUACGGCAUCAUAACAGACAGCCACAGAUGGGAGAACAUUUCAGAAUUCAGCAAUAGAAAGCCAGAAGUGGAUCUUUACAGGGGGAGUUAUUUCUAAUUCUCCACACCUAGACACAACUCAGGUCACUACUUUGAUAUCGACAGCACGGAGCCAAGCCGGCACAGCAGGAACAGAACAAGAUCACUGGGGUCACAAGACAACUGGCUUCCAGAAAGCCCACUCUUGACACAAAAGAAGCUUCUUGCAGCUGCUCUGUCUCGAGCUCACCAGCUUGGUGGGGGCUGGGGUGGAGGGGACUGGAACACACCAUCAAAAACUGGACUCAGGCAGCUAGCAGGCGCCCUGGCCAGGCUCUCUCGGAUCUGGAAGGAAGGCGAGGAGCCUCGGGUGUGCUCAUCCACAGCCGGGCUCAGCCUGCUGCUCGCCAGGGACACUGGGGAUGCCCGGUGGGCCGCCGCCGCCCUGUUAUGCUUGUGCUCUUUCUUCCAAAACACAGAUCUCAGCAAGAGCUGGCAGCGUCCGACUUCACAUCCUCGCCGGCAGCACCCGUCAACAGCGGCACGAUGGACUGGCUC